UACAUCGGAACGUGCCCGAUCGUGGGGGAUAACGGAGCGAAAGCUUUGCUAAUACCGCAUACGAUCUACGGAUGAAAGCAGGGGACCGCAAGGCCUUGCGCGGACGGAGCGGCCGAUGGCAGAUUAGGUAGUUGGUGGGAUAAAAGCUUACCAAGCCGACGAUCUGUAGCUGGUCUGAGAGGACGAUCAGCCACACUGGAACUGAGACACGGUCCAGACUCCUACGGGAGGCAGCAGUGGGGAAUAUUGGACAAUGGGGGAAACCCUGAUCCAGCCAUGCCGCGUGAGUGAUGAAGGCUUUAGGGUUGUAAACUGCUUUUGUACGGAACGAAAAGACUCUGGUUAAUACCUGGGGUCCAUGACGGUACCGUAAGAAUAAGCACCGGCUAACUACGUG
rnacentral:rRNA from 1 species